rnacentral:rRNA from 1 species
AUUGAACGCUGGUGGAAUGCUUUACACAUGCAAGUCGAACGGCAGCACGGACUUCGGUCUGGUGGCGAGUGGCGAACGGGUGAGUAAUGUAUCGGAACGUGCCCAGUCGUGGGGGAUAACGUAGUGAAAAUUACGCUAAUACCGCAUACGAUCUAUGGAUGAAAGCGGGGGAUCGCAAGACCUCGCGCGAUUGGAGCGGCCGAUAUCAGAUUAGGUAGUUGGUGGGGUAAAGGCCCACCAAGCCAACGAUCUGUAGCUGGUCUGAGAGGACGACAAGCCCCACUGGAACUGAGACACGGUCCAGACUCCUACGGGAGGCAGCAGUGGGGAAUUGUGGACAAUGGGCGAAAGCCUGAUCCAGCCAUUCCGCGUGCAGGAUGAAGGCCCUCGGGUUGUAAACUGCUUUUGUACAGAACGAAAAGGUUUCUACUAAUACUAGGAGCUCAUGACGGUACUGUAAGAAUAAGCACCGGCUAACUACGUGCCAGCCGCCGCAGUAA